rnacentral:rRNA from 1 species
GACGAGGGGUCCAAGCGUUGUUCGGAAUCAUUGGGCGUAAAGCGGGUGUAGGCGGCUUUGUAAGUCAGGCGUGAAAUCCCCAAGCUUAACUUGGGAAGUGCUUUUGAUACUGCAAAGCUUGAAUGUGGGAGAGGAUGGUGGAAUUCCAGGUGUAGUGGUGAAAUACGUAGAUAUCUGGAGGAACGCCGGUGGCGAAGGCGGCCAUCUGGCCCAACAUUGACGCUGAGACCCGAAAGCGUGGGGAUCAAACAGG